AGGUUCUUAGUUUAAUUGGCAAAACACUUCUCUCCAAAAGAAGAGUUAUGGGUUCGAUUCCUUUAGAAUCUG
rnacentral:tRNA from 1 species